CAUCGCCUCCUGCUUAUAGUAACAUAGGAGGUCCCGCCUGCCCUGUGACCAAAAGUUUAACGGCCGCGGUAUUUUAACCGUGCAAAGGUAGCGCAAUCAAUUGUCUUUUAAAUGGAGACCUGUAUGAAUGGCAUAACGAGGGUUUUACUGUCUCUUUUUUCUGGUCAAUGAAACUGAUCUGCCCGUGCAGAAGCGGGCAUAAUAACACAAGACGAGAAGACCCUAUGGAGCUUUAGACGCCCACCAACCGCGAAGAGCACCCCGACGACGGGCCACCAAAUAACGCGACCAUGGUACAAACGUCUUCGGUUGGGGCGACCACGGGGGAACACAAAGCCCCCGAGAGGAUUGGGGAUCCAACCCUAAAACCAAGAGCCACAGCUCUAAGUCACAAAACAUUUGACCCAGAAUGAUCCGGCUCAUUGCCGAUCAACGGACCAAGUUACCCUAGGGAUAACAGCGCAAUCCUCUCCCAGAGUCCAUAUCGACGAGAGGGUUUACGACCUCGAUGUUGGAUCAGGACAUCCUAAUGGUGCAGCCGCUAUUAAGGGUUCGUUUGUUCAACGAUUAAAGUCCUACGUGAUCU
rnacentral:rRNA from 1 species